GACGAACGCUGGCGGCGUGCUUAACACAUGCAAGUCGUACGGUAAGGCCCUUUCGGGGGUACACGAGUGGCGAACGGGCGCGUAACACGUGAGUAACCUGCCCACAACUUUGGGAUAACGCUAGGAAACUGGUGCUAAUACUGGAUAUGUGCUCCUGCUGCAUGGGGGGGGUUGGAAAGCUCCGGCGGUUGUGGAUGGACUCGCGGCCUAUUAGCUUGUUGGUGGGGUAGUGGCCUACCAAGGCGGCGACGGGUAGCCGGCCUGGGAGGGUGACCGGCCACAUUGGGACUGAAGUACGGCCCAGACUCCUACGGGAGGCAACAGGGGGGAAUAUUGCACAAUGGGCGCAAGCCUGGUGCAGCAGCGCCGCGUGCGGGAUGACGGCCUUCGGGUUGUAAACCGCUUUCAGCAGGGACGAAGCUUUUUGUGACGGUACCUGCAGAAGAAGCACCGGCUAACUACGUG
rnacentral:rRNA from 1 species